rnacentral:misc_RNA from 1 species
UCCGGUUUGUCACCGGCAGUCUGAAGUGAGUCCCCAACUUAAUGCUGGCAACACUUCACGGGGGUUGCGCUCGUUGCGGGACUUAACCCAACAUCUCACGACACAAGCUGACGACAGCCAUGCAGCAUCUGUGGUGCACCCUCGAAGGUCACACGUUUCCGUGCGCUUGCAGCACCAUGUCAAGUCCAGGUAAGGUUCUUCGCGUUGCAUCGAAUUAAAGAACAUGCUCCGCUGCUUGUGCGGGCCCCCGUCAAUUCUUUUGAGUUUUAGCCUUGCGGCCGUACUCCCCAGGCGGAACACUUAUCGCGUUGGCUGCGGCACAGACAGAUUCGACUCCGCCCACACAGCGUUUACAGCGUGGACUAC